UUAAAGAGAAGCUUUGAAGAAGCUUAGAAUUUUUAAUUCUAUCAAGUGUAGAAAUUUUAUCACCUUUUUAA
rnacentral:tRNA from 1 species